rnacentral:rRNA from 1 species
UACGGGGGGAGCAAGCGUUGUUCGGAUUUACUGGGCGUAAAGGGCGCGUAGGCGGUCGUGACAAGUCACUUGUGAAAUCUCCGGGGCUUAACUCGGAACGGUCAAGUGAUACUGUCGGACUAGAGUACAGAAGGGGCAACUGGAAUUCUCGGUGUAGCGGUGAAAUGCGUAGAUAUCGAGAGGAACACCUGCGGCGAAGGCGGGUUGCUGGGCUGAUACUGACGUGAGGCGCGAAAGCCAGGGGAGCGAACGGGGAUUAGAACCUAC